rnacentral:rRNA from 1 species
GACGAACGCUGGCGGCGUGCCUAAUACAUGCAAGUAGAACGCUGAAGGAGGAGCUUGCUUCUCUGGAUGAGUUGCGAACGGGUGAGUAACGCGUAGGUAACCUGCCUGGUAGCGGGGGAUAACUAUUGGAAACGAUAGCUAAUACCGCAUAAUAGUAGAUGUUGCAUGACAUUUGCUUAAAAGGUGCAAUUGCAUCACUACCAGAUGGAACUGCGUUGUAUUAGCUAGUUGGUGGGGUAACGGCUCACCAAGGCGACGAUACAUAGUCGACCUGAGAGGGGUAACGGCCCCACUGGGACUGAGACACGGCCCAGACUCCUACGGGAGGCAGCAGUAGGGAAUCUUCGGCAAUGGACGGAAGUCUUACCGAGCAACGCCGCGUGAGGGAAGAAGGUUUUCGGAUCGUAAAGCUCUGUUGUAAGAGAAGAACGAGUGUGAGAGUGGAAAGUUCACACUGUGACGGUAUCUUACCAGAAAGGGACGGCUAACUACGUG